rnacentral:rRNA from 1 species
AUUGAACGCUGGCGGCAGGCCUAACACAUGCAAGUCGAGCGGUAGCACAGGGAGCUUGCUCCUGGGUGACGAGCGGCGGACGGGUGAGUAAUGUCUGGGAAACUGCCUGAUGGAGGGGGAUAACUACUGGAAACGGUAGCUAAUACCGCAUAACGUCGCAAGACCAAAGAGGGGGACCUUCGGGCCUCUUGCCAUCAGAUGUGCCCAGAGGGGAUUAGCUAGUAGGUGGGGUAAUGGCUCACCUAGGCGACGAUCCCUAGCUGGUCUGAGAGGAUGACCAGCCACACUGGAACUGAGACACGGUCCAGACUCCUACGGGAGGCAGCAGUGGGGAAUAUUGCACAAUGGGCGCAAGCCUGAUGCAGCCAUGCCGCGUGUAUGAAGAAGGCCUUCGGGUUGUAAAGUACUUUCAGCGGGGAGGAAGGUGUUGAGGUUAAUAACCUCAGCAAUUGACGUUACCCGCAGAAGAAGCACCGGCUAACUCCGUGCCAGCAGCCGCCGCAG